rnacentral:rRNA from 1 species
CGUGAGACAGUUCGGUCCCUAUCUGCCGUGGGCGUUGGAAAUUUGAGAGGAGCUGCUCAUAGUACGAGAGGACCGGAGUGGACGUACCCCUGGUGUUCGGGUUGUCAUGCCAAUGGCAUUGCCCGGUAGCUAUGUACGGACGGGAUAACCGCUGAAAGCAUCUAAGCGGGAAGCCCCCCUCAAGAUUAGAUUUCCCCGAGCUUUAAGCUCCUGAAGGGCCGUAGAAGACCACUACGUUGAUAGGUUGGGUGUGGAAGUGCAGUAAUGUAUGAAGCUAACCAAUACUAAUUGCCCGUGAGGCUUGACCAUAUAACCCCAAGUAAGUUGGG